GAUGAAGAACGUAGCGAAAUGCGAUAAGUAGUGUGAAUUGCAGAAUUCAGUGAAUCAUCGAAUCUUUGAACGCACAUUGCGCCCCUUGGUAUUCCAUGGGGCAUGCCUGUUCGAGCGUCAUUUGUACCUUCAAGCUUUGCUUGGUGUUGGGUGUUUGUCUCGCCUUUGCGUGUAGACUCGCCUUAAAAUAAUUGGCAGCCGGGGUAUUGAUUUCGGAGCGCAGUACAUCUCGCGCUUUGCACUCAUAACGACAGCGUCCAAAAGUACAUUUUACACUCUUGACCUCGGAUCAGGUAGGGAUACCCGCUGAACUUAAGCAUAUCAAUAAGCGGAGGA
rnacentral:misc_RNA from 1 species